AAGAUGAUUGAAGCAAUAUGUAGAAGUUUUGUUUGGUCUGGAUCAAAUUCCAAUAAAAAAGCUUAUGUAUCUUAGGACAGAAUGUGUACUCCUAAAUCAGCUAGUGGAAUGAACCUUAUCAAUCUUCUACUAUGGAACAAGGCUGCAAUUGCAAAAAUUUGCUGGGAUCUAGCUCACAAGAAAGACAAACUGUGGAUAAAUGCUUACUAUGUUAAACAACACCAGGUAGAAACAAUGCCAAUCCCUUCACAGGCAAGUUGGAUGGUCAGGAGAUUAAUAGCAUCCCGAGAUAUCCUGCAGAAAUUUCAAAGCUGGAGGUGGCCAGAUUGCUCUAUCAGACAGUUAUAUCUCUUGCAGUUAGGAGAUCUCCCGAGAGUCCCAUGGAAGAACCUAAUCAUCCAGAAUUAUGCUAGACCUAAAGCUGUGUUCAAUUUCUGGCUAAUGUUACAGGGCAGAUUACCAACCAAGGACAGAUUAGCUAACUGGGGACUGAAUAUAGACCAACACUGUGUUUUAUGCCAUAUUGAGACAAAAGAUCAUCUUAGAUUAGCUAACUAGGGACUGAAUAUAGACCAACACUGUGUUUUAUGCCAUAGCCAUGUUGAGACAAGAGAUCAUCUGAUACUAUCCUGUCCUUUUUCAACUGAGGUAUGGGAGCAAGCAAUGCAUUGGAUUCAAGAGAAUCAUCCAAAGACAUAUACUUGGGAUCAAAAACUCCACUGGUUCAUCAGUAAAGCUAAAGGGAAAUCAUGCAGUGCCAAUAUAUUCAAAAUGAUGAUUGCUGAAGUAUC
rnacentral:lncRNA from 1 species